AAAUAAAAUUGCAAAAGAUAGAACACCCUAUACAAACAAGAGCCAUAACACAGAACCGGUUGUCGAUUCUCCGGGCCUGCAACGUGUACGGCGAACGAACUGCCGAUUACCUAAUACCUCGCUUGCUAAAUAAGCUGCCCUUCAGUGAGCGGCAAAAUUUAAAUACUAAAAACAUUAAUUAUAGAAUAAAGGAUUACCUAUUACAUAAAUUAUAGCAGCUAAGAGAAUUUGAACCUGCUAAGUCAUAUUUAUAAGUUAUAUUUAUUCGUUUUUAAGUCUUUUAAAAUAUUUUCACUGUGUUCAUUUAAUUUAUAGCAUAAGUUAUUGUUGAGUUGUGACGUAUUAUUAAGUGUUAUUAGCAUUAGUUGUUAACCUUUGUGGUUUUUUUUAGAUGCUAAUUUGACCUAGUUUUAUAUCGGUAUAUGUAAUAUGAUAAAUAAAAAAAAAAGUAUCAAUAGUGAAUAGACUGAACCAUGUCCAUAACUAGUAAAUAUUAUACUCAAGAGUCUAGAGGCAGAAGCCUCGGACAAUUCAAUAAUCAAUACAUAUGUUACACUUUUUACGAAUCUUUUAGUGGAAAGAAUAAAUUCGUAGAUUGCCAGGAAGCAAUCUCUAUUUGAUAAAAGUUGCGGAAGAGAGAGCGGGAUAUUAUCUGAUGAUUUAUAAAUGCUAAGUAGAUGAUCAAUUAGUACAAUCCUAUCAAGUAUAAAACUACGGCAUUCGAAGAAAAUGUGGUGAGGACUUUGGGGUUCGUUGGAAUUACAGAAGUUGCAAUUUGGAGAUGGGAUAAGGUUUACCCGAUGAAGAUGAACAUUAAAUAGACAAUGGCCCAGACGUAAGCGACACAAAACCGUAUAAAAUUUUCUGUUAUGGUGUUGGUUACCUCUGCAAAACCAAGGGAUACCAAUUGAAUUAUUAAUUUCAGCAUACCAUUUACCCUUUGUUUCAAUAGUUUGAUACCAAUGUUGUUUAAAGUUUUCUGUAAUUUCCUCCUUAAUACAGAUUAGAAGAUCAGAUUGUGGAGGCGAAAUCUGUUUAUUAGAAAAAGGUAUAGUUGAAGAGUUGUUUGUGAUGGAUUUGGCAAGGAAAUCAGCUUUUUCGUUACCUAUAACACCAAUAUGUGAAGGUGUCCAAAAAAAUACUAUAUUUUUUGAAAAGGAUAAUUGAAAGUAUUUUUCUCGAAUUUCGUGAAUGAUGUAAUUUGUUUUAGAAUCGAGUCCAGGAUUAUCUAAAGCUUGUAAAACACUCAUGCUAUCAGUGACUAUAAUCCAUUUAUUAGAGACUUGCUUUUGGAUAUAAUUCAGAGCUUCUAAUAUUGCCGAAGACUCUGCUGAGAAAAUACUGAAUUUUUCAGUUAACUUGUACCCUAAGCCUCUCUAUGCAGUCACAUCAUAGAAAGCAGUUGCCGCUGCCUCACUGUUUUUUGCACCAUCAGUGUAGAUUUGUUGAUACCCCACAAAGUCUGAUAAACCAUUGAAGACAUCCUCUCUAUAUUUUAAUUUGUGGUGUAUGACUAUCUCUAUAAGGCAAUACUUACUUAAAUAAGAACCAUUAUAACAAGGAAAUUGGAGUGAACUUAAAAUGGAUGAAAGAAUAUGCAAAUUUACAUUGUUGAAGGCACCAAUUAUGUCAAGGAAAACAGCUACUAAGACUUUGUUGUUCUGAAAAGCAUCAUCAAUAUCCAAAUAUAAAUGGCUUAGACUCUCUCUGGCAGAGUGACCACGGCGAAAUCCAAACUGAUUGCUUGUGGGAAGAUGAUAUCCACCCAAAGGGGAAUCAUAGACCUUCCAUUCACAAGAUAAAAGUAAUGAAGAGGAUACCAUUGUCAAAUCAAGACCAUUCGGCCGCCAACUGUAGUGGGACUUCCAUCAUUCAAAAGUGACAAGUCAUUCUCCUCCAUGACAUCUAAGAUAUCUUUACCACGAGUGUCUGUGCUUCCACAACCCCAAAGAGUAUUAUGUGCAUUAAAAUCACCACCUAUUAUCAUUGGACCAGGAAUGGACUUUAUUAAGUUAUUCAACUUUGAUUGUGUAAAACUAGGAGUGGAACGUGGAGGACUAUAGAAGCUUACUAUUGAUAUUAAUUUGUAUUUGUAUAACAAUAUUUUGUAUUGAAUCAUCAUAUGAAGUAAUUACAUUUUGAAAUUGAAUAGUGCCAAGUCAUUCUCCUCCAUGACAUCUAAGAUAUCUCUACCACGAGUGUCUGUGCUUCCACAACCCCAAAGAGUAUUAUGUGCAUUAAAAUCACCAGCUAUUAUCAUUGGACCAGGAAUGGACUUUAUUAAGUUAUUCAACUUUGAUUUUGUAAAACUAGGAGUGGAACGUGGAGGACUAUAGAAGCUUACUAUUGAUAUUAAUUUGUGGUUAAUUUGUAUAACAAUAUUUUGUAUUGAAUCAUCAUAUGAAGUAAUUACAGUUUGAAAAUGAAUACUAUUAUGAACUAUAACAGCCACACCAUUAUGAGCAUUACCACAGUCAUUUCUCACAAUGGUAUAGCCUUUUAUACUAAGUUUCAUAGAAGAUUUUAACCAGGUCUCUGAAAUUAAAGCUAUGUGAAUUUGUUUAUCACUAAGAAAUUUCUUGAAAACAUUUUUAUUAUGCAUAAUGCUUUGAGCAUUCCACUGCAUAAUAUUGAGGGUGUUGAAAUUGAAUUUGAAGUGAAAAAAAAUGUUUUUCAGUAAAUUCUUAGUCAAUAAAAAAAUACUUAGAGAGUCUGAUAUGUUAGGUGUUAUUGUUUUUUAAUGUUGCAUGUAAAAUAUCUGUAAUAUUUUGACUAUUGCCAUAUUUUCUGUUUUAUUUAAUGAUAUUAUUCUGAUUAACGAUUCUGUUAUCAAAUUAAUUACUUUCUUGUCUGAAAGUAAUUUAGAGAUAUCUAGUGGAUUUUUAUUUAAGCUGGGGAAAUUACUUUCAUUAAAUAAUGAUGAGU